rnacentral:rRNA from 1 species
ACUCAAAGGAAUUGACGGGGGCCCGCACAAGCAGUGGAGUAUGUGGUUUAAUUCGAAGCAACGCGAAGAACCUUACCAGGUCUUGACAUCCAAUGAAUCCUGUAGAGAUACGGGAGUGCCCUUCGGGGAACAUUGAGACAGGUGGUGCAUGGUUGUCGUCAGCUCGUGUCGUGAGAUGUUGGGUUAAGUCCCGCAACGAGCGCAACCCUUAUCAUUAGUUGCUACGCAAGAGCACUCUAAUGAGACUGCCGUUGACAAAACGGAGGAAGGUGGGGAUGACGUCAAAUCAUCAUGCCCCUUAUGACCUGGGCUACACACGUACUACAAUGGCAGGAAACAGAGGGAAGCAAUACCGCGAGGAGGAGCAAAUCCCUAAAAACUGUCCCAGUUCGGAUUGCAGGCUGCAACUCGCCUGCAUGAAGUCGGAAUUGCUAGUAAUCGCGAAUCAGCAUGUCGCGGUGAAUACGUUCCCGGGCCUUGUACACACCGCCCGU